rnacentral:misc_RNA from 1 species
AAAUAAUAAUAGAAUUCUUAAACUACCUAAUACUAAAAAUCUAAAUCUUAAUUUUAAAAUUAAAAAUUUAAUAAAAAUAAUUCCUAAAUUAAAAUUUCCUUGACUGCAUCAUUCUCUCCUGAUUAGAGAAAACAUGACAUUGAGUUUUGUAGCGUUGAAGAAUCAGCAACUGAAUUGGGAGAACAAUCAAAUCUAUCUUCUAGGAUGGUAGCAAUAAGAGCGAAACAAAGAACUCCAUUUUUUCCUUCACAUCCCUGGAAACAUCUAAACUUGUUAAAUUAGUCACAACUAUAGUUGAAAGGCUUUUCAUUCCACUAGGAACAAAAGAAUUAGUCAAUAUCUUCAAUUUCCAUUGUUGUCUCUAUGGCUUGAUUUUCCUUUUUCCCUAAAAUAGAUGCCUCAAGAUUUUCUUGCUCAUUCUCAGCAGCUUCUUUCUCUAGAAUAGGUUUAUCAAAAUUUUCCAACUCGAUCUUAUCAUAUUGGAUUUUAACAUGUGAAGGAUCAAUAAUCAAAACUUCAGAUUCUCUAGGUUGCCCUUCUUGUUCUUUAUUAUGAAAUUCUUGCCUUGCAUCCUUUUAGAGUUAUAACUACCUCUUCAAGAACUCCUGAUAUCACAUCCAGCUCUGCAUUUAGCCUAGCCAAAGUCCCAAGAUGCGUCUCACCUUUUUCUUGAAAUCGAAUAUUUCCUAAUAGUUGACUUAUUGAUGGUUGAAUAAAGAAGUUUUCCAAUAUGCUUGCAGAAACAUAUGGUCCUCCUUCCAUGCUUGUAAGUUUUCUCUUCUUAACUCAUAGUUGAAUCAUAUAUUCCUUCUUCCAUACUUCUAGUUCUUUCCCUAACUCACAAAAGUUGUUUGAUAGUUUGAUAUUCAUAAUAUAAGUCAGAGGAAAAUAUUUAGCACCACCAUAUACAUCCCUCAAAUAAAAUAUUUCAUCUAGUUGUACCUCGUAGUCAUUGAUUUUAACUAGUAAUCUUUGAAUUUCAGCUCACAUAGAAUCUCAAAUGAAAACACAAUUGAAAGCUCUUACCAGCUUAAAUAUUUGUUUCUAUCCAAAAUGGAUGUCAAAAUUGAAACCAGCAUGUCAAAAUUAGCUGAGUAAGGGUUCUGCCAAAAAUUGUUGGCGUAGCAGAAGUUGAGUGGUGUUGGCGCGGCAGAUGAAGUGGCCAGUAUGUGGCAACUGACGUGGCAAUAAGCUGGAGGUUGAUCAGGUGAUCAUGGGCUCACAGUAGCAAUGUCAGCUAGUCUAGGUUUACAGGCGAAUAUUCAAAUGAAUCUUGCUGUAGGGACGUUGGACAUGAGUUCAGACAGAAGGCAUGUGCUGAUCGGCAGCCCACAAGACAAAGAGAAGGUCCAAACAUCAGAUUUUGUUCAAUCCCAUCAGGUUAUGAGUCAGGUUGAAACCUAACUCGAUUGGAACUCUCUCUAGGCAACCUCUAGCGGCCAAACUGGCACCAAGGGUGUCUCCUAGUGCCGAGCUAACAUUUGGCAAUGGAGUUGCAAUGAUUUGAUGAAGCAAUGGUGGCGGAUUUUCAAGGACAUUGGCAAGGGUUUUGUCUUGCAAGAAACCAGCAGGAAAAACACAAAGCUCGGCAAGGAAAACCAAUAAAAAAAUGCAAGAAAUCUAAGAAAAGCUAAAGGAAUUUUCCACAGAUAAUUGGACGUCUUACUUUGAUAGCAAAUUAAUGUAGAACCAAUAAAUAAGUCAAAGGGCUUGUGAAAAAAUUCUCUUUUUUUUAUUAAUUGUCAACAUCAAUCAUCAAAUUGUCAAUAAUAAAGUCUAAAGACACCUAGAGGACAUAGGUAUUUAUAAUAUAAUAACUAAUCCUACUAGUACUAGGAUUAAGAACCCCAAAAUAAGAAAAUACUAAACAAAUACUAAUUGGGAAUCCCAAAUCAACUUAAACUUCCUAAAU